AAAUUUGGUUUUUCGAAAAGGAAACAGAAUCUUUACUAAUUUUAACAAUAUCUAUACAAUCUAAUUUCACUCACCCAAUCCCAAAAGAAUACAAACUUGACAGAAUUUGAAAGAAAAACAAGAUGAAAUUACAAAAAUAUUAAAAGUCAAGCACUAUGGGUUUGCUAUUAACACCUCUAGGUCCACCAGCUUGGGCAGCCAUAGCAAGUUCAAAUUGCUUAAUGGAAAUUGAAGGAAAAGAA
rnacentral:lncRNA from 1 species